rnacentral:rRNA from 1 species
UACGUAGGGGGCAAGCGUUGUCCGGAUUUAUUGGGCGUAAAGAGCGUGUAGGCGGCCAGGUAGGUCCGUUGUGAAAACUCGAGGCUUAACCUCGAGACGUCGAUGGAAACCAUCUGGCUAGAGUCCGGAAGAGGAGAGUGGAAUUCCUGGUGUAGCGGUGAAAUGCGCAGAUAUCAGGAAGAACACCCGUGGCUAAGGCGGCUCUCUAGUACGGUACUGACGCUGAGACGCGAAAGCGUGGGGAGCGAACAGG